CUAAUCACUCUGAAAAUAUGACCUUGAUAUUUUGACAUUUGUCUUCUUUGCAGACCUGGAGAAGAUCAAGGCGUACAUCGAUUCCUUCCGGUACGGAGCUCCUCCACAUGCUGGUGGUGGAAUUGGGCUGGAGAGAGUGACCAUGCUGUACCUGGGACUCCACAAUGUCCGCCAGACGUCCAUGUUCCCCCGCGACCCCAAGCGCCUCACUCCUUAAGAGGCUCACCAGAGUGCGAUUACUUGCAGAGCUUGUCUUAACAUCGCUGCCAUUCUCUUAUAUGCGACAAAGCAGGGAAUGGUCAAGUGCCACCACACUGCAGUGUCCCAACGUAAUUCACAAAGUAUCCGGGUACCCUUUUCAAACUAAGUACUAAACUGUAGUAAGAUGGAAGGUCUGCAGGCUGAUAGAUAAAAUCGAAAACUAAUAUAAAUGUCAUUCACUCAAAGGGAAUCAAAGUGUCCUAAAUGAUCUAGUUGGACCGACUAGAUCGACAGUAAUAAACAUACAAUGCAGUUCUCACUUAGGCCAGCCUCUAGUGUUAGGAGGUCUUUCAGAGAUAGUCUGACACUUUUCUACAAGUCUAACUUUGCUACUUUUGACACUAAAGAAGUUUGACUGUCGGGAUAAAUCAUUGUUUUAAUGGUACCUAAGUGUUAAUUGUAAUAAAUGUUUUUAAAAGUAAAUAAAUAAAUACAAACAGCUAUUCUAAAA